UACGUAGGGUGCAAGCGUUGUCCGGAAUUAUUGGGCGUAAAGAGCUCGUAGGCGGUCUGUCGCGUCUGCUGUGAAAACUCAGGGCUUAACCCUGAGCUUGCAGUGGGUACGGGCAGACUAGAGUGCGGUAGGGGAGACUGGAAUUCCUGGUGUAGCGGUGAAAUGCGCAGAUAUCAGGAGGAACACCCGUGGCGAAGGCGGGUCUCUGGGCCGUAACUGACGCUGAGGAGCGAAAGCAUGGGGAGCGAACAGG
rnacentral:rRNA from 1 species